AGCGCGACGACGGCCGCUGCCCGCCAAGAUUGAGGAUGCCGAAGCGCCGCGCUGGCUGCCGGAAAGGUUGGUACGCACGGCGGAGACGAUUGCUAGUAAACCAGAUGAAGAGAUUGACGAUUCAAGAGCAUGAUGAAUUACCAUCUUGGCAACAACUUCAGGCAUUGAUGCGAGAGGCACAGAAUCGUGUUGCUGUGUAGGGUGAUCCGAUAUCGCCUUUAAGCUUCCUGAUGACCUUAUUAAUUAUUUUAAAUCAGAUUAAUACUGCACAUUCUGAAGAAUAAUCAAAUGCUUACUGGGCUUAUUUUCCCGAUCCUCCCCUUCUCCAACCGGUGGGCUGGGAGGGUCGGUCCAUUCCCAUAUACACUAAUGAUACUGUGGCUUUGGGUGGUUUUUCAGAUAAACAUAUUAUUCCUAAUCAAGUUAAUUUCUCUUAUCAUGGAGUGUUUGGUCGCUUACCUAUUUGUCUGUCUAGAUAUUUUAAUUCAACAGGAUGUCUUUUUGUUGGGGAGUCAGGAUAUGCUGAUCAUGACAAUGGUUGGAGCCUAUACAUUCCUGGAGUAACGAAAGAAUCUGGAAUUCCUCAACGUCGUAAUGGAACUGGUCCUUUAGAUAUCCCUUUCUGUGACUUUGGAACAAGGGGAAGAGUCACUGCUGCACCAUGGAAACUGUGUUGAGAUGGACCUGCUACGGUUUAUAACAUAUUUGGGACAAAUGAGUCAUUGUGAGACUGGUCUCCAGACUCGGCCUGAAACCCUGGACCUCAGGACAAUAGGAACUUUGCAUCCCGUAUUUGGAACUUGGGCGGCUCUAAAGUGUUCCAAACAGAAAUCUGGAAAUUAGCUGCUGCCCUUGGAUGUGAGGGUUCCUACUUUCAGGUGGGAUCGAAAAUGAGACACGGUUAUUUAUGGAAUCUCACCAUGAGGUACCCUUGUGCAUGUGUGCCUCACCCUUAUGCUUUACUAGUAAGAUCUGUAAACAUACAACCUGGGUUACAAAAUUAUGAUGUAACUUGUAACAAUUGUACCUUAACUAACUGCAUUAGGGGAAUUACUAAUCAAACUAGGGUUCUAGUCUUAAGACAGCCUGCUUUUGUUAUGGUUCCUGUAAAGAUCAAUGGGUCUUGGUAUGAU